rnacentral:lncRNA from 1 species
AAUGGCACAAGUUACCCUUCAUAGAGCAUUAUUCUGAAUUCAACUCGGCGCCAUCGAAAAGUUUCAUACCCUGUGUUUGUUGAUUUCUGGACCUUCACUGUCUUCUGGUUAAAUAAACCUUUGUGGCAUGAGUAGUAGUGGUUUGAAUGUGUUUAAAUGAAGAGCCUUAAUAGUUUAUGAAUGUUAUUCUUUCAUUCAUAGUGAGAAAGAAGCUCCUGUAUCUCAUGGGGAUGAUGACAACCACUCCCCUCUGUCAACUCCUCUCUUUCGCCAUUUGAUUUCACAAGAAGAAUCGGGUCAGUGCCCUGAAUGGCUGUCUGGUUUCUGUAGGACCUGCUGGAAGUGGCUCAGAAGAGCACAGUCAUGCUAAGCCAGCUGUCCUGCAGGGAGAGCUGUGCCACUGGGAGGCAUGACCUCACUGAGGGCUGCUGCGAGACAUGGAUCUGCAUCCUAUUUUGCUUCUUUGGCAAGGUCAUGUUCCAGUGUGAAGGUGUGAGGCCGUGGUACAGCUUGCCUGAGGUGGCACAGCAGGGGGACAAGUCAAGAUCAUGCUCAAGGUGUCCUCGCCGCAUGCUGCACUGCUGCUGCAUUGCUCCCUCACAUGGACAUUUCCCAGAAGCCUGUGCAGGUUGGUCACGUUAAGGUCAGUUGGCAACAGAAGACCAAAAAGUUAUAAAGUUUACCUCUCAUGGCAAGUCAGUUUGCUUUCAUUUCAUGUUUCCACC